GUAGCAGAGUAGUUUGUUCUUUAAUUGGGAGUUGGUAUGAAGGGUUAAACAAAGAGUAUCUAUUGGAUUAAAUUAAGUAAAUUAAAGUUUAAGUUAAAAUGCUUAGAUGUAAUAAAGGGACGAUAAGACCCUAAAAGCUUAAUUUAUUUUAUUGAGUAAAAGGUAUUGUAAAAUUAUAUUAAGGAUAAAAUUAGCUGGGGAAGUAUUUUUGUAGAAUCAAAAAGUUAUACUAUUAUGAUUUAAGAUUUAAGGUCUUUAAAAUGAGAAUUGACAGAGUAAGUUACUUUAGGGAUAACAGCGUAAUGGUUUUGGAGAGUUCUUAUUUAUAAAAUUAUGUGCGACCUCGAUGUUGAAUUAAGAAGUCUUAAGGGGGCAGAAAACUUAUAAGAGGGUUUGUUCAACCUUUAAAUUUUU
rnacentral:rRNA from 1 species